UGGCUUGAUAGCUCAGUCGGUAGAGCAGAAGACUGAAAAUCUUCGUGUCGGUGGUUCGAUUCCGCCUCAAGCCACCA
rnacentral:tRNA from 2 species